UACGAAGGGGGCUAGCGUUGCUCGGAAUCACUGGGCGUAAAGGGUGCGUAGGCGGGUUUUUAAGUCAGGGGUGAAAUCCUGGAGCUCAACUCCAGAACUGCCUUUGAUACUGGGGAGCUCGAGUCCGGAAGAGGUGAGUGGAAUUCCUGGUGUAGCGGUGAAAUGCGCAGAUAUCAGGAAGAACACCCGUGGCGAAGGCGGCUCUCUGGGACGGUACUGACGCUGAGGCGCGAAAGCUAGGGGAGCAAACGGG
rnacentral:rRNA from 1 species